GAGUUUGAUCAUGGCUCAGAUUGAACGCUGGCGGCAGGCCUAACACAUGCAAGUCGAACGGUAACAGGAAGCAGCUUGCUGCUUCGCUGACGAGUGGCGGACGGGUGAGUAAUGUCUGGGAAACUGCCUGAUGGAGGGGGAUAACUACUGGAAACGGUAGCUAAUACCGCAUAAUGUCGCAAGACCAAAGAGGGGGACCUUCGGGCCUCUUGCCAUCGGAUGUGCCCAGAUGGGAUUAGCUUGUUGGUGGGGUAACGGCUCACCAAGGCGACGAUCCCUAGCUGGUCUGAGAGGAUGACCAGCCACACUGGAACUGAGACACGGUCCAGACUCCUACGGGAGGCAGCAGUGGGGAAUAUUGCACAAUGGCGCAAGCCUGAUGCAGCCAUGCCGCGUGUAUGAAGAAGGCCUUC
rnacentral:rRNA from 1 species